UUGGAGGGCAAGUCUGGUGCCAGCAGCCGCGGUAAUUCCAGCUCCAAUAGCGUAUAUUAAAGUUGUUGCAGGGCAAGUCUGGUGCCAGCAGCCGCGGUAAUUCCAGCUCCAAUAGCGUAUAUUAAAGUUGUUGCAGUUAAAAAGCUCGUAGUUGAAUUUCGGGGUCAGUAGAUUGGUCAUGCCACUGGUAUGUACUGGUCUCACUGAUUCCUCCUUCCUGAUGAGCCGUAAUGCCAUUAAUUUGGUGUUGCGAGGAAUCUGGACUGUUACUUUGAAAAAAUUAGAGUGUUUAAAGCAGGCUAACGCUUGAAUACAUUAGCAUGGAAUAAUGAAAUAGGACGUUCGAUCUUAUUUUGUUGGUUUCUAAGAUUGACGUAAUGAUUAAUAGGGAUAGUUGGGGGCAUUAGUAUUCAAUUGUCAGAGGUGUAAUUCUUGGAUUUAUUGAAGACUAACUACUGCGAAAGCAUUUGCCAAGGAUGUUUUCAUUAAUCAAGAACGAAAGUUAGGGGAUCGAAGACGAUCAGAUACCGUCGUAGUCUUAACCAUAAACUAUGCCGACUAGGGAUCGGAUGAUGUUAAUUUUUUAAUGACUCAUUCGGCGCCUUACGGGAAAC
rnacentral:rRNA from 1 species